rnacentral:rRNA from 1 species
GCGACCCCAGGUCAGGUGAACAACCCACUCCC